CACGUAGGGUGCGAGCGUUGUCCGGAAUUAUUGGGCGUAAAGAGCUCGUAGGCGGUGUGUCGCGUCGGACCGUCGAAACCUGAUAGCUUAACUGUGGGCUUGCGGUCGAUACGGGCAUCACUGGAGUUCGGCAGGGGAGACUGGAAUUCCUGGUGUAGCGGUGAAAUGCGCAGAUAGUCAGGAGGAACACCGGUGGCGAAGGCGGGCCAUCUGG
rnacentral:rRNA from 1 species